UUGACAUGCGAUCGCGCGUCGACAUCGGACGCUAUGGCACACUCGUGCCUUAUGUGCCACCGAAGCCCCGAAGUGCUCUGGCAUAUACCUUCACAUGUUUCCCUUCAGUAGGAAAUUGCUGGACAGGCGGACCAGCGCACCGGAAUUGUACUGGCGAAGCCACAAGCAACUCAAAGAAUCUGUUUAGUUGUUGCACUUCGAACAACCAUGGUUCUACAAAGGCCACAGCAGAAAAACAGCCUGAUGCUGGGUAUUUCUGUGCCACGAAGUAAUCAAGAGGCGAGUGCCUAAUGCGGACGAAAUCGAGUGCAUCGAGACUUAGAACGACGGAAAGCUGAGCUAGUUGGUAAGGAUUCAUUAUGCAAAACAGAGGUGAGGCAUAACAGAGGUGAGGCAGACAGGACACAAGAGUGAGCAGUGGACGGCGCUCGUGUUGUUUGAUUGUAAAUACUCUACUCUUGUGUCCUGUCUGCACGCCUCACCUCCGUUUUGCAUAACGAGUGCAUCAACCCACAUAUUAAUAGCGUAGGCGUUUUAUUAACUGUGCAAUAUUUUCAACACUUCCUUGCAUGCCAUUUCAUGUGGAAUAUCUUUUCUGGUCACAAAUUUGUGCAGCGAAUCUAUUUGCAUGAUCGACUCCGGGCCUGUGGGACCGUUCACUUGCACUUGAUGCCGAGUUUUUUACAUGUAUCCAUAAACUGCAGAUACGCACAUCAGAUCCCUGCGAGCAUUUUCAAAAUUCAAUUAUUUUAGACAACAGGCACACAUGCAAUACUGACAUAAUCUCAAAUACCACUAAGCAGCUGGGACACAUUUUUGUUGACCAUACUCGCAGGUAAAAUAAGUAGAUCAUUUGGACAGCUCCAGCUCAUUUUCCUUAAAUCAGUGUGUACAAGGGGUAUGCAAAAAUAAUUUUUUUCUCGCGCACCGAUUAUUUUGCUGUAUAAGCAAGAGAAACCACCACUUUAGUGUAACGUAUCUUGUACAUCACACUAAUAUGCGCUUUAAUUUACCAAGUGAGAUGAGUUACUUUUAUGGCUCAUUCAGUCAUAUCACACUGCAAGCUGCAUUCAUCAAUCUUCAAUUGGAUUUUGCAAAUGUUUAAUGAAACAUGUUUCCCUUUUAUGCAGAUAUGCAAUGGCAAGCCCUUCCGUGUGUUCCAAAGGUAAAAUUUAAGCUCUAAAUUAAAGAAGACAUUUCUAGUCAGAAACAAGCAAAAAUGGUGAAUGCAGAGUAUCAGAAGCCCAAGGUACAGAAAUUAUGAGAAGUGUCGAAUGAUUUUAAGGAAAGAGUCGUAUUUGAAAAUGCAAGACUCUUUAUUGGAGGUUAAGCAAGUCAAUAUAGGUAGAAUACUCUGCAAAAUUAUGCGAGUGAGGGGAUGUCAAACAAUGGGUCAGGAAAUGCGUUGUUUUUCUGCAAAACAAAAGCUGAUUGUCAUUACAUAAGUCACUUUAGCAUCAUGAGACUGCUGCUUGAUAAAUUCAGAAAUAAACCAAAAAACAAGACACGCAAGCAUAAAAAAUUUAAUGAUGCUCUCUCCACACUGGGAUAAAUAAAAACAAACAUUACAUCUAAUGUAGACAUAUCAGACGCCUUGUGAAACACUAAAGGAAAAAUUCAGUUUCGAGCUAUGGUACUUGCCGCAUAGAUGUGGGGGGCCUUGCACUAAUAGUGAUAGUUACCACUGCAUUUAGAAAUUGAAAGCAUUCAUGCAGACAAGGAUGAUUCUUUAUAUUUUUGGCUACCACUUCAAAUGCCUCCACCAAGUGUUACAAUGCUGCACGCAGCAAUACUAAGGAUCUCGCAGCAACACCUGCAGGUAAAAAGCAGAAGCAGCCAAAGUGCUGUUGUGUACUGGACACUAUGUUUGAAAACUUUUAGGCAAGAAGAGUGCAAGAAGCAGACAUAACAACUGCAUUUAUUUCCAUAAUUCCCCAUUUGAAUGGCCUUUUCUUUUUGCUUAGACAAUGCCUACGCCUAGCAACAGCAGCUCCCUCAUACAGACUCCGCAAGCAAAGAGGCCGUGGAGGCAAAUGCAGGCAGCCAGCACACCUCGAACAGCCACCUUGACUGCGGGUGUGUCAGCCUAGUCGCCAAGGAAACAUUUGAGGGAAAGCGACAGGCAAUGUGAACAGCCACUUCUCCAUGUAAACGAUACUCUUUCUCUCGGAUGACUCCUACGCCUCGCCACGCCAGCACACUUGUGCACAAAUAUGCCGCGGAGGCACGUACAGGUCAGAGGCAAGAAGCAGUGGCACUAGUGUCGACAUUCGCCCAAUUUCUUUUUCUUACACUGAGGCAGCCAGCACACCUCGAACAGCCACCUUGACUGCGGGUGCGUCAGUAGAUUCCCGUUGUACAUAUGCUCAUAAUAAACUUCAGUAAACUUGAACUUGAUAAUAAACUUGAAGGCAUAUGGGACAUUGAUGCAUUGUUUUUUUGAAUAUUUAUUGUACACAUACAAUAUAUGUUAUACUUUGCAGUGCUACAGAGCGUAUUUUGAAGCUUCCCCCUAUAUUUUGCACCUUUAAUUACGUAUGUGUUGUGCGGCCCUCAAUGCAGUUCAUGUUGUAGCAGCUGCUUUGUCUGUGUAUCACACAUUGGCUUAAGCUCGUGAUAUCCACAUACUUCUCUCACAUAUACAAAAUAAAGUUCUAUGUAGUCCUCAGUGUUACAACAAAAAAUGAAAGUAAAUAAUCCGAUCGUGGAAUUGUGUUUAUUACAUUGAUUCCUAUGACAGUUACUGACAAGUUGACAACUUGAACUGGUCACUCCGUCCAUAGCCUCCUCUAUUAUGAUCCGUCAUGGCAAGGAAUUGUAUGUAUACAUAAAAAAGGGGGGUAUGUGUGUGUGUUUGUAGUGGGGGGUAUAGGAUUAGGGCGGUACGAAAAAAUGUACCAACACCGUCCUCUAGACCCAUUCCGUUAAGGUGCCGUAACAAAGCGUAUUAUGCAUAAAGUUCAUACAACCAACUCUGAUAUUACUACACACGCCAGGCGACGCGAGCUACAUUUGCCAUGAUGCAUUCGCGACUGCACCGGAUGUCCUCCAUAUUAUUCUCGUUAAUCGUGCUCACUGCACCGAGGCAAAAGAAAGAUCAUGGGGGCAGGUGCCUUAAAAGUAUCUCGACCUUGCGAGGCACUGCUGCGCGUGCCAGGGGAGCUGUCCGUGCGAACACUCCCUGGCACACACCUGCCUCGGCGGCCCC